UACGUAGGGGGCAAGCGUUGUCCGGAUUUAUUGGGCGUAAAGAGCGUGUAGGCGGCUUGGCAAGUCCGCUGUGAAAACUCGAGGCUCAACCUCGAGAUGUCGCCGGAAACCAGUCGGCUAGAGUCCGGAAGAGGAGAGUGGAAUUCCUGGUGUAGCGGUGAAAUGCGCAGAUAUCAGGAGGAACACCGAUGGCGAAGGCAGCUCGCUGGGACGGUACUGACGCUGAGACGCGAAAGCGUGGGGAGCGAACAGG
rnacentral:rRNA from 1 species